rnacentral:tRNA from 1 species
AGAAACUUAGGAUAAAAGACCAAGAGCCUUCAAAGCCCUAAGCAGGGGUUUGAGCCCCCUAGUUUCUG